CUACGAGCUGCUAGCUUUCAACACAACGCUCAAUACUAUUGACUAUUAUUGUUUGAAGAUGAAGGCCGACGCUUGCAUUUGGGCUGUCACACAUGACGUAUAUGACGUUUUAACAAUGCCAUGCCCUUCCAUACAUUUCAGUGAUGGGAGGAGGUGGAGGAGGACUAGAGGGAGGACGCACUCGAGCCAACACUCUGCAGCAUCAUGGCACCUAUCGGAUUAAAGGCGGUGGUCGGAGAGAAAAUUAUGAAUGAUGUCAUCAAGAAGGUGAAAAAGAAGGGAGAAUGGAAGGCCUUAAUUGUGGACCAGCUCAGCAUGAGGAUGUUGUCUUCUUGCUGCAAGAUGACAGACAUCAUGACAGAGGGUAUCACCAUUGUGGAAGACAUCAACAAACGACGAGAGCCUCUUCCCAGCCUUGAGGCCAUCUUUCUGAUUACACCUACAGAGAAGUCGGUCCAUACCCUCAUUGCAGAUUUCAAGGACCCCCAUUCAGCAAAGUACAAAGCAGCUCAUGUUUUCUUCACUGACUCAUGUCCCGAUCCCCUUUUCAAUGAGCUGGUGAAAAGCCGUGCUUCCAAAACCAUCAAGACGCUGACAGAGAUCAACAUCGCCUUCUUGCCCUAUGAGUCUCAGGUGUACUCUCUGGACAACGCUGAUGCCUUCCACAGUUUCUACAGCCCUCAUAAGACCCAGCUGAAGAACCCUGUGAUGGAGAGGCUAGCUGAGCAACUGGCCACAUUGUGUGCUACACUGAAAGAGUACCCUGCGGUCAGAUAUAGAGGGGACUACAAAGACAAUGCAACCCUGGCUCAGCUGGUUCAGGAUAAACUGGACGCCUACAAGGCUGAUGACCCCACCAUGGGAGAGGGUCCAGAUAAAGCUCGCUCACAGUUGAUUAUACUGGACAGGGCUUUUGACCCCGUCUCACCUGUCCUGCAUGAGCUCACCUUCCAGGCUAUGGGCUAUGACUUGCUUCCCAUUGAAAACGACGUUUACAAGUAUGACACCAGUGGUAUCGGAGAUUCUCGUGAGAAAGAGGUUCUGUUGCAUGAAGACGAUGACUUGUGGGUGAGCCUGAGACACAAACACAUUGCAGAGGUGUCCCAGGAAGUGACUCGUCAACUGAAGGAGUUUUCCUCAAGCAAGAGAAUGAACACCGGAGAAAAGACCACAAUGAGGGAUCUGUCCCAGAUGUUGAAGAAGAUGCCUCAGUAUCAGAAAGAGCUCAGCAAGUACUCCACUCACCUGCAACUUGCUGAAGACUGCAUGAAGCAUUACCAGGGAACGGUGGACAAACUGUGCCGUGUGGAACAGGACCUUGCAAUGGGCACAGACGCUGAGGGGGAGAAGAUCAAAGAUCCCAUGAGGGCUAUCGUGCCCAUUCUGCUGGAUGCCAACGUCAGCACAUAUGACAAAAUCCGGAUCAUCCUGUUGUACAUCUUCCUCAAAAAUGGCAUAACGGAGGAGAACCUAAAUAAGCUGAUCCAGCAUGCUCAGAUUCCCCCUGAAGAUAGUGAAAUCAUCACCAACAUGGCUCAUCUGGGAGUCCCCAUUGUCACAGACUCAACCCUCCGCCGAGGCAAAAAACUGGACAGGAAAGAGCGAGUGAGCGAGCAGACCUAUCAACUGUCCCGCUGGACACCACUUGUCAAGGAUAUCAUGGAGGAUGCCAUUGAUGAUAAGCUUGACACCAAGCACUACCCCUACAUCUCCACCCGAUCCUCUGCUUCUUUCAGCACCACUGCUGUCAGUGCUCGGUAUGGACACUGGCACAAGAACAAGACACCCGGAGAAUACCGUACCGGCCCACGCGUCAUGGUCUUCAUCAUUGGGGGAGUGUCCUUCAGCGAGAUGCGCUGCGCCUAUGAGGUCACACAGGCCAACGGGAAGUGGGAAGCCAUCAUUGGUUCCACCCACAUGCUCACCCCAACCAAAUUCUUAUCGGACCUGCAGCACCCCGACUUCCGAGAGUCCACUAGGGUGUCGUUUGAGGAUGCAGACGCCUCAGACGAGUGAGGCAGAGACAGAUUGGGAGGGAGGGAGAGAGAAAUCACACAGAAAAAGACAUGGUUGAAGUUCAUUGAAGGAGUCCCUUGAUGUUGUGUUGUACUAUCAUCGCAUGCUCACAUGGCCCACGGCUCGUCAGCAGAAGGAUCAACCAACAUCUUUACCCCCACCAGCCUGCUCGAGCAGCUCAAGGCCAUGAAUAAACCAGAUGAGGAAGUGACAAGUUAAAAAACCCCAGUCAUCUAAUCUCUCUCCUCCUUAAUUUCCUCUUUACCUUUACCAUUCCUUUAUCGGGUAUGCAUCUUGCUUGAGAAUAAAAAAAAAAUAUUAUUAUAAAAAGAGACAUCUAAGAUGACAAAAAAAUAUGUUGAAACAAGAAUAAAAACUAUUCUCGUCUUUUACAAUGGAUGCAAUGAAAGAAUCUGAUUUAAAUAUCCAAACAGGUGGCCAUUUAAAAAUGAACAUACCAAAAUGUCGAAGUGUAGUGUAUGCUAUCCAACCCCGUAGACUAUGUCAAAUCUAGAGCUGUCCUCGUUGAUCGCCCUGGGUCACCUGCUUAGUGUCAGUGUCAUGAAACUGGGCGGAGGAGGGAUGUGCUGUUCGUAGUUGUAAAAUAUCGCAUCUCAAUCAACAUGCAAUAUAUAUAAAUAUAUAUAAAUAUAUAUUCAACUGAAGAGAUGGCCCAUUUAAGAUGUUUGUAUCAAGUAGCAUGCUCGGACUUGUCUGGACUGUUAAAUGUGUUUGUAUCCCGUGUGGAUGUUUUUGGGAGCUAGCUUCCCCCCCCAUGAUUUUGUGUUUGGAUACUCUACUGAAAGAUCUUGCCGCUUUCAAAACCACAACCGAAGCAACUCAGCCUACUGGUUCAGACUAUGCAAGUUCACCGUGCAAAUACACGCGUGGUCACGUUGUGUUCGGUUAUGUUGCAAAGCUGCUGGCUCCACAGUGCUCACAAAAGAGGAAUUUUCGUGAGAAUUUUAACUACUGAAUACUAAACAAGUCCAGGUUGACAAAUCAAACAUCAAGCGAUACCAUUGUACCAGGCACACGCACAGAUAUUUUGGGGGCAAGUGCUCAAGCAAAAGUAAAAAGUGCACCCGUCGUCAAAACUAUUCAUACAAUGAAUCAAUUGUAAAACAUGCAAUGAAUGAUGUAAAAAAAUGGCAUACAUGAAAAAAUGACAGUUCAAUUAAGUGAUAACGAUGGCAACCCACCCACCAGAUUUUGUUUCCGUAAAAGCUACACAUUUAUUUGAUAGUUAUGCAUUAAAUGUAUGUAUUUAUUUAUGUUAACACAGUCAACACUGUCAAUAACACUGUAGAACUACGAACAAAGAAAGUGACAGGAGGCUACAGUGGUUAUGAUAUGGAAACCCACCCCUGUACAAAUGGCAACUUGGGAAGUUUUCAGAAGGUACAAUUCUCCCAAGGAGUCAAAUAAAUGCCCAACAAAACCCUUAACAAAAAAAUGUGCUUCAGCAAAAUGACCACUUUGUUUGUCUAGGGCAAAAGGCCAGAUGCUUGAGCACCAUCUUGGCAAUAAGUGUGCACACGCCUGGACAUGACUGGAGUUGCAGGUGAAGUAUAAAGUAUAAUAAAGUUUUUGAGGGGUGUCUGUGGAUGUUGUGACAAAGCCACAACACUGGAGGAUUUUGAAUAGAAUCAUCCCUCCUCCGACUGUGAAGACUAUGAAGUAUUCAAUUGACACCCUUCUCUUACCCUCCCGUCAUUGUCACAUUUUCAUGUUGAAAAUUGCUUGCUUCUUCUAUUGUCAUGAAUAUUAGUCAAGAAAGCCUCUUGUAUUUCAGUAUUGUAUCCUUUAAUCUUCUUGCUCAGCACUGUUGUUUCACUGCAUCAUGCACUCGGUAGUAUUGUGUAUUUGCCAUAUGUUGCUGUUUAAUGUCUCAGUGUUGAUUGGUGAUAUUACGAACUGUGAAGUAAUGCUAACUUUCCUUUCUUGAUGCCAAUAGGACGCCACACUGUAUUUGUGAUGUUUUAGCUGUAGAUGUUAGCUGGGGGGGAAAAAGAAAAAUCUAUAUUUUAUUUGCCUGAAUUUCUGCUGUUGCAACGUAAAUCCUCUUCAGUGGUGAAUGGCUUUGCAAAAAGUAAAAUAAUAAAAAACAAUAAUCAUCAUUUUCUCCAUCUUUCCUCUUUUCCCGUCCAAACAAGUUCACUAUUGCAGUAUAACAAGGUUUUUGUGCUGCAAAUGGUUUUUUUCCCCAGAUUUAUUUGCCGUUCUAUAUGAUGAACUGUCAAAUUGCUUGACUUAUUUCAGAACUAUUUAUCUGAGAACGAUAUCACAUUGCUCUGUCCUUAAACUGUUUAAGUUAUUGGGAAUAUAUGUUUGCAAGUGUUGAAGCACAAACAAUACUUCCAUGUGGAACUUAUAUGUACUAAGGCUGUCGAAUAA